GUGAAUCAUCAAAUUUUUGAACGCAAAUUGCACUCUCUUCGGAGAGUAUGCCUGUUUGAGGGUCAGCCUAAAAAAAUCGACAUUGUUGCCGUUUCGCGGUGGCGUUUGGCGGAAAUUGGGUUAUCUUAAAACCUUUUGGGUUUUAAGCGACUUAAAAUUUUUUUUUUUGUUCCCUUAACGUUUUUAAAAUUUUUUUUUUUACCCCUUUUAGGUAUCGAUUUUUUUUUGAACUUACCC
rnacentral:misc_RNA from 1 species